UGACGUCAAAUCAUCAUGCCCCUUAUGACCUGGGCUACACACGUGCUACAAUGGGCGGUACAAAGGGCUGCGAACCCGCGAGGGGGAGCGAAUCCCAAAAAGCCGCUCUCAGUUCGGAUUGCAGGCUGCAACUCGCCUGCAUGAAGCCGGAAUCGCUAGUAAUCGUGGAUCAGAAUGUCACGGUGAAUACGUUCCCGGGUCUU
rnacentral:rRNA from 1 species